AAUAAAAAAAAUAAAAAAAAGCAGUAAUAGCCUGAUAUUUGUCUGCACACCUUUAAGGGGAAUCCCAUUUGGUCAUGUAUUCACAUUGGGCUUUGUUUUAUUUUUUAUUUUUUAUCUUGAAUCAGCUGAAUCGUAAUGGGUGCAGAGCAAGGACAAACGAAGAUGACCAGAACCAAGCAUGUUAAAUGUAAUAUUAUUUAAAAUAAAGCUUGUGAAUGCUUAGUAACUUUUUAAACUCUGCAGAAAUGAUGCAGAGAAAAAGUGUCCAUGGGAACCAGAGCUGGCAAGUGGAACAGUAUAACACCAAGCUGGCUGCAGGUUCUGGAAGAGGGAGGCCAUGCCCAUGUUCAUGCAUGAAUAUCUCCAUCGCGCUUUAAAUGGCUGUGCUCCUGAUGGAUUUCCUUUCCUGAUGCAUUAUCUAUGAAGACUGCUCCCUGCUUUAAAAUCUAGCCUUGACGGAAACAAUUUAACAUUUCUUUCUCUCUUCUUCUUAGUCAAUGCUUUUCUAACCAAUAGAAAAUUAAAGACACUUUAAUCUUUAAA